rnacentral:tRNA from 1 species
AAGGAUUUAAGUUAAGCCCAAACUGUCAACCUUCAAAGCUGAAAAUAGAGGAAACCUCUAAACCUUG